rnacentral:lncRNA from 1 species
UCCAGACCACAUAUGUUCAAAGUGCAACGGAGAUGAUAACUAUGUACCAGAAGUCCAACUAGAAUGAAGGUAUCAACAAGAAGACAAAAGAAGAAGACAGCUACUGGAAACAUAUAAUGUAAAGUAAUAGUAUAUGUCAUAAUCAUGAACAGUAAAGGUCGUUCAUGAAUAGUAAGAGUCAUAAAGUAAAUAGUAUAUGUCAUAAUCAUGAACAAUAAAGGUCGUUCAUGAAUAGUAGGAGUCAUUUGUAAACAGUAAGAGUCGUUUUAAUUUUCUUUAUAUAUAAUGUAAAUCCGAGGAAGGAGGACAUCCUCAGACAUCCUCACCUUCUCUCUCUUAUCUUCUCUCAAUAAAAUUAUAUACAAACUUCUGAAAGCUAUGGAGCAUUCAAACGAGUUACAAAACCAGGUAAGUUUAUUUAUAAUCAUGUUUAACUAAACUCUUAUAUUCCUUAUAAUCUCUUGAAUAUCAUAAUUGUUUAUCAUGUUAUAGUACUGUUAUAAAGAACAUCUUGAGAAAGUUUGCCUGUC